AGCUGUAGUGUAUUAUAAAUUUCAGUUUCUUGUUUUUAUGAUUUAUCCCCAAGAUAUUUCAAUUUGUUUGAUAUGUAAAUGAGUAUGAAUAUAUCCGCUAUUUUAUGACGUCACAUUGGUUGCAAGCUCUUCAAAAUGGUAUAAUAUCACUGCUAUCAUCCAAGAUGAUAAUUUCAAAACUUCACUCACUGGUAAAUGUGAUAAAACACUGGAGAAAAACGUGAACUGAUAUCUACUGUUUUUAGUGUUAAUAGAUUUAAUUGUAACUAGUGUAAGUUGAGCUUGCAAACAAUGUGACGUCAUAAAUUAGCGGACA